GACGAACGCUGGCGGCGUGCUUAACACAUGCAAGUCGAACGGAAAGGCCCUGCUUUUGUGGGGUGCUCGAGUGGCGAACGGGUGAGUAACACGUGAGUAACCUGCCCUUGACUUUGGGAUAACUUCAGGAAACUGGGGCUAAUACCGGAUAGGAGCUCCUGCUGCAUGGUGGGGGUUGGAAAGUUUCGGCGGUUGGGGAUGGACUCGCGGCUUAUCAGCUUGUUGGUGGGGUAGUGGCUUACCAAGGCUUUGACGGGUAGCCGGCCUGAGAGGGUGACCGGCCACAUUGGGACUGAGAUACGGCCCAGACUCCUACGGGAGGCAGCAGUGGGGAAUAUUGCACAAUGGGCGGAAGCCUGAUGCAGCAACGCCGCGUGCGGGAUGACGGCCUUCGGGUUGUAAACCGCUUUCGCCUGUGACGAAGCGUGAGUGACGGUAAUGGGUAAAGAAGCACCGGCUAACUACGUGCCAGCAGCCGCGGUGAUACGUAGGGUGCGAGCGUUGUCCGGAUUUAUUGGGCGUAAAGGGCUCGUAGGUGGUUGAUCGCGUCGGAAGUGUAAUCUUGGGGCUUAACCCUGAGCGUGCUUUCGAUACGGGUUGACUUGAGGAAGGUAGGGGAGAAUGGAAUUCCUGGUGGAGCGGUGGAAUGCGCAGAUAUCAGGAGGAACACCAGUGGCGAAGGCGGUUCUCUGGGCCUUUCCUGACGCUGAGGAGCGAAAGCGUGGGGAGCGAACAGGCUUAGAUACCCUGGUAGUCCACGCUGUAAACGGUGGGUACUAGGUGUGGGGUCCAUUCCACGGGUUCCGUGCCGUAGCUAACGCUUUAAGUACCCCGCCUGGGGAGUACGGCCGCAAGGCUAAAACUCAAAGGAAUUGACGGGGCCCCGCACAAGCGGCGGAGCAUGCGGAUUAAUUCGAUGCAACGCGUAGAACCUUACCUGGGUUUGACAUGGAUCGGGAGUGCUCAGAGAUGGGUGUGCCUCUUUUGGGGUCGGUUCACAGGUGGUGCAUGGCUGUCGUCAGCUCGUGUCGUGAGAUGUUGGGUUAAGUCCCGCAACGAGCGCAACCCUUGUUCACUGUUGCCAGCACGUUAUGGUGGGGACUCAGUGGAGACCGCCGGGGUCAACUCGGAGGAAGGUGGGGAUGACGUCAAGUCAUCAUGCCCCUUAUGUCCAGGGCUUCACGCAUGCUACAAUGGCUGGUACAGAGAGUGGCGAGCCUGUGAGGGUGAGCGAAUCUCGGAAAGCCGGUCUCAGUUCGGAUUGGGGUCUGCAACUCGACCUCAUGAAGUCGGAGUCGCUAGCAAUCGCAGAUCAGCAACGCUGCGGUGAAUACGUUCCCGGGGCU
rnacentral:rRNA from 1 species